rnacentral:rRNA from 1 species
AGAGUUUGAUUAUGGCUCAGAUUGAACGCUGGCGGCAUGCCUUACACAUGCAAGUCGAACGGCAGCGCGGGGCAACCUGGCGGCGAGUGGCGAACGGGUGAGUAAUAUAUCGGAACGUACCCUGGAGUGGGGGAUAACGUAGCGAAAGUUACGCUAAUACCGCAUACGAUCUAAGGAUGAAAGUGGGGGAUCGCAAGACCUCAUGCUCCUGGAGCGGCCGAUAUCUGAUUAGCUAGUUGGUGGGGUAAAGGCCUACCAAGGCAUCGAUCAGUAGCUGGUCUGAGAGGACGACCAGCCACAAUGGGACUGAGACACGGCCCAUACUCCUACGGGAGGCAGCAGUAGGGAAUUUUGCGCAAUGGGGGAAACCCUGACGCAGCAACACCGCGUGAAUGUUAAGCCCUUCGGGGUGUAAAGUUCUGUCAGUAGGGAAGAACAAAUGACUGUACCUACAAAGGAAGCACCGGCUAACUCCGUGCCAGCCGCAGC